CAGUGAAAAGAGAAGGCAGUCGCGACAGUCAUGGUGACGGUGACAAGGCUGAGUCACGGAAUAUUUCUGAGCCUCUUUCUAACAAGAAAGAAGACGUUCAUAUGACUGUUGCUCCAAGAUCAAAACAUAUGACACAUUCUCAAAUAAAAGCAGAGUCAAUAGUGAAAAUAGAAGGCGGCCGCAAAAGCCAUGGUGACGGUGACAAGGCUGAGUCACGGGUAGGAAAUCUUCAAAUUUAAAAUAAUGCAUUUUUACUUGUCUUGGGUUCAAAAUGCGCAUGUGGCAAAUGAAAAUACACUUGACAUUGCCCUGUAGGUAACUGAUGGCAAGUUAUCCUUUAUUUUGGAAAACUUCUAGUGCAUGCCAUGUUCUUAGACUAUUGGGAGUGCCUUAAUAA